rnacentral:rRNA from 1 species
UGAGGAAUAUUGGUCAAUGGGCGCAAGCCUGAACCAGCCAUCCCGCGUGCAGGAAGACGGCCCUAUGGGUUGUAAACUGCUUUUCCAGGGGGAGAAUUUUUCUGUCGUGACAGGAAUUGACGGUACCCUGGGAAUAAGCAUCGGCUAACUCCGUGCCAGCAGCCGCGGUAAUACGGAGGAUGCGAGCGUUAUCCGGAUUUAUUGGGUUUAAAGGGUGCGUAGACGGAUUGAUAAGUCAGUGGUGAAAACCUGCAGCUUAACUGUAGACUUGCCGUUGAUACUGUCAGUCUUGAGUGUGGUCAAGGUAGGCGGAAUGUGUAAUGUAGCGGUGAAAUGCUUAGAUACUACACAGAACACCGAUUGCGAAGGCAGCAUACUGGGCCAUUACUGACGCUGAUGCACGAAAGCGUGGGGAUCGAACAG